rnacentral:rRNA from 1 species
ACUCCUACGGGAGGCAGCAGUAGGGAAUCUUCCGCAAUGGGCGAAAGCCUGACGGAGCAACGCCGCGUGAGUGAUGAAGGUCUUCGGAUCGUAAAACUCUGUUAUUAGGGAAGAACAAACGUGUAAGUAACUGUGCACGUCUUGACGGUACCUAAUCAGAAAGCCACGGCUAACUACGUGCCAGCAGCCGCGGUAAUACGUAGGUGGCAAGCGUUAUCCGGAAUUAUUGGGGCGUAAAGCGCGCGUAGGCGGUUUUUAAGUCUGAUGUGAAAGCCCACGGCUCAACCGUGGAGGGUCAUUGGAAACUGGAAAACUUGAGUGCAGAAGAGGAAAGUGGAAUUCCAUGUGUAGCGGUGAAAUGCGCAGAGAUAUGGAGGAACACCAGUGGCGAAGGCGACUUUCUGGUCUGUAACUGACGCUGAUGUGCGAAAGCGUGGGGAUCAAACAGGAUUAGAUACCCUGGUAGGAUAGCG